UUUCCGUAGGUGAACCUGCGGAAGGAUCAUUAUUGUAUAACCGAGGUGCGAGGGCUGUCGCUGACCCGAAAGGUCGUGCACGCCCGAGUGCCCUCACACACAUCCAUCUCACCCCUAUGUGCACCACCGCGUGGGUUCCCCUUUGGCUUGUUCGGAGGGGGGCUUACGUUUUCACACAAACUUUGUAUGCAGUGUAGAAUGUAUUUUUGUUUUUGCGAUCACGCAAUCAAUACAACUUUCAACAACGGAUCUCUUGGCUCUC
rnacentral:misc_RNA from 1 species